UUUCCGUAGGUGAACCUGCGGAAGGAUCAUUAAUGAGAUGUCAUGGGGUUCGCUGCUUGCAUCCAAAUUCUGGAUGCAUGUGCUUGCCCUAACACUCAUCUUCCGAACACCGCUGCACAUUUUUGAGGGCGUCUAGCGUUGUUUGUCGAUCUUGGGUGAUUUUCUCACAUUCCCUUAAAUCAUUCAACAAUAUUUACCAUGUUUAACGUGCUCUGUGCCGCCAGGCUAGUUAUAUAAUACAACUUUUAACAACCGAUCUCUUUGCACUCGCAUCGAAUA
rnacentral:misc_RNA from 1 species